rnacentral:rRNA from 1 species
UACGUAGGGGGCUAGCGUUGUCCGGAUUUAUUGGGCGUAAAGAGCGUGUAGGCGGCCAGGUAGGUCUGCUGUGAAAACUCGAGGCUCAACCUCGAGACGUCGGCGGAAACCAUCUGGCUAGAGUCCGGAAGAGGAGAGUGGAAUUCCUGGUGUAGCGGUGAAAUGCGCAGAUAUCAGGAAGAACACCAAUGGCGAAGGCAGCUCUCUGGGACGGUACUGACACUGAGACGCGAAAGCGUGGGGAG